rnacentral:rRNA from 1 species
GUGAGGAAUAUUGCGCAAUGGAGGCAACUCUGACGCAGCCAUGCCGCGUGCAGGAAGAAGGCGCUACGCGUUGUAAACUGCUUUUAACCGGGAAGAAACCCCAGGACGUGUCCUGGGUUGACGGUACCGGAGGAAUAAGCACCGGCUAACUUCGUGCCAGCAGCCGCGGUAAUACGAAGGGUGCAAGCGUUAUCCGGAUUCAUUGGGUUUAAAGGGUGCGUAGGCGGAGCGUUAAGUCAGUGGUGAAAUCCUGCAGCUUAACUGUAGACUUGCCAUUGAUACUGGCGCUCUUGAGUGCGCUUGAAGUGGGCGGAAUGUGCCAUGUAGCGGUGAAAUGCUUAGAUAUGGCACAGAACACCAAUUGCGAAGGCAGCUCACUAAGGCGAUACUGACGCUGAGGCACGAAAGCGUGGGGAUCGAACAGGAUUAGAAACCCCAGUAGUCC